rnacentral:lncRNA from 1 species
GGUCUGAGCACAGCCACAAAGCCCUGCCCCAGCGGGAGGGAAACGAUAUUCUUUCUUCCCUUCUAAGAUUCACUGCCCGAGACCAAGUCCAUCAACUUGCAAUGGAGAGGACAAAGUUAGUGCCCCAUGGCGUUUGCAUUCAAAAAGAGAACAAGGAGAUUUUUACUUCUAUCAAUAAAAGACUUCCUUGGACAUUAAUAGGUUGACUGCUAUGUCGCUGAACUUAGUGCAUGAAAGGUCAGCCUUUGAAACGCUAAAUAAGGUAAGUGCAAGCUGAAGCAUGUUCCAGGCGAUACCGUGUACUCUAAAUGCACUUGAAACCCCUAAGAAUCACUGCUGCUCCUUAGCAUUUUUCCAUAUCUGAUUUCAAAGUGGUAGAUCCUUGGAUCAAUACUUUGAUUUUGAUCUCUCAUCCACCAGGAGAUUCAGGGGGUUGCUCACAUGUUAUAAACAUGUGCUCUUCCUGAUGCAUCUUAAGAAAAUCUUAUUGAAAACUUCUUAGAAGACAGCUUUUUUUUUUUUUUAUAAUCAGCAAAUGCUGACUUAGGUGAAUUUGAAAGAUUUCUUAGGAUGACAGCAAUUUUCUUGAAACUGUUGAGAAGCAGCAUAAUAAGUUGGGGACACUUUUCUUCAGUAAAGGUGGAAUGUUUCAUCUGACUUUUGUUUGAUUGCAUUGUAAAUUAUAACGUACUAUUUUCUAUGAUUUGAAGUCUUAAGAAUGAAAAA